rnacentral:rRNA from 1 species
AGAUUGAACGCUGGCGGCAGGCCUAACACAUGCAAGUCGAGCGGCAGCACGGGUACUUGUACCUGGUGGCGAGCGGCGGACGGGUGAGUAAUGCCUAGGAAUCUGCCUGGUAGUGGGGGAUAACGCUCGGAAACGGACGCUAAUACCGCAUACGUCCCUACGGGAGAAAG